rnacentral:lncRNA from 1 species
GUUUGAGGCCUGCCCCACAGGAGGGAAUUUCACGCCCUUUACUGAAAUCCUGUACAGAAGUCUACAGGUAAGAGAUCACAGGUUCCAGCUAGAAUCAGUUCUCUGCCAUCCUUGAAGCUCACAGCGACCCCAACAACAGAGGAGCUAGAGGAGGAAAAAAAUCAUUCUUUUCUGAAGAAGCUCCUCUACCCAGCAGCUUUUACUCAUGGUGUGUACAUUAUUGUGAUCAUCCUCCACGAAACAGUCAGUUAAUUUAUACUAUGUUUCAGUUUGUCACAGUAGAUGUCUAAGAAACAAUACAGUCUGGAGAAAAUAUUCCCAGGAAAGGGUAUGGCUGUCCUACUGACAGAUUCCUAAGAAGGUCUGAGUCAGUCUAAGCUGUUUUCUACACUGGGAUGCACAUCACCAUGGCUUCAGUGAGAAUCAUCAUCACCUCAUGCAUCAGGCCCUUCUUAGGCUUUGGAGACCAGUUUCUGUGUUGUUAGUGGAGGCUUAGUGGUCUCCAAGGAAUUUCAAAUGUCCCUAUAACUCAUCAGCUCACAGAGUCCUGGAGGCACUCGAGUUUGCUCACCUUAUGAAACUCCUGCCAAAGUCCUGACUGACGGGUGGAGGAGAAAGAGCACACAUGCAUGUAUGCCCAUCAACAACAAAGUGCAGAAUGCCAAGGCUAGUGUCCAUCACCUGAGGACAAUGGAUUGCGUUCAUGCAGCAUUGGGGAUACUUGUGAUUCCUGAUGUGUCACCACAUUCGAUGUAAAUCUCCUUAUUUAUGUAGUGAAGAUACUCACAACCUUUUACAUCAUUGUUCUCAAGGAAACACAGUUAAACCAGGAAUAGUGGACCAGCCCCGAAAUCCCAGGACACGAAAGAAGGUAAAAGAUCAUGAGUGUGAGAACUACAGAGACCUUGUCUCAAAAUUAAAACAUGUAAUUAAGUAACUAACAAUAAAAGAAUGGCAGG